AAGAGCUCGUAGGCGGUUCAGUAAGUCGGGUGUGAAAACUCUGGGCUUAACCCAGAGACGCCACUCGAUACUACUGUGACUAGAGUUCGGUAGGGGAGCGGGGAAUUCCUAGUGUAGCGGUGAAAUGCGCAGAUAUUAGGAGGAACACCGGUGGCGAAGGCGCCGCUCUGGGCCGAUACUGACGCUGAGGAGCGAAAGCGUGGGUAGCAAACAGGAUUAGAUACCCUAGU
rnacentral:rRNA from 1 species